rnacentral:lncRNA from 1 species
UUUGCGUAAUAUAAUAGAGAAAACUAAGCAACCCGUUUGGAUCUUUUCGUUUUGGUUGUCAAGCUUUCGAUGAUUCUGUUGUUCCUUUAUUAGAAGAUAGUGAGACCAAGCUAUUCCUAGCCGCAUUGUAAAAAAUAUAUAUCUUUGGAUAUACACCCUAAAACUGUAAUUUCCAACUCACCAGAGAUUACCGACUAGGCCAAAAAUCCACUGCCGCCACUACACAUCCAUGCCCUUUGCCUCAAGCCGUUGUCCGGAGCAACACCGUCAAUGCUGCAUCGGCCCCAAUAUGUGCUGCCCCAAGAUUCAGGUGCAAUGGCCCAGAGUACCAUGCCUGCGAGACGGGCCGCACACCACCGUCUCCCCCGCAUCACUAGGUGUUAAACAUGCAGUUGUGAUUUAGAAAGUUGUUAGUAUCUUGUAUAUCUCCUGUAACAACUCAUGUAUAUCCGGCUAGGCCUUUGUGCCCUAGCUCACGUAUAUAUAAACCCUCGGAGGGUACCGUUUGGAGUGCGCCGAUCCAAUCUACCUUUCCCUCAGUUUUCACAUGGUAUCAGAGCCUCUCGCUUAACAGCACGAUGGGUUCCCCUACUGCCUCCGCCUCCUCCUCCGCAGCCCUAACCACCCUCUCGCUGCCAGCAUCCUUUGGCAGCCCGCCUGCUUCCUCCGUGCCUCCCCCUUCCGCUAGCCUGAUCACCGCCAAGCUCACCUCCUCCAAGUUUCUCUCCUGGAAAGCCCAGAUCCUCCCCCCCUUCACAUCACCAAUGCCACUGGCUAUGUCGAUGGCACCGAGCUCCCUCCCGAUCGGCUGCUUCCCGCCGAUGACAAGGGCAUCCGUGCUCCCAAUCCAGAGUACGCCACCUGGUUCCGUCAGGACCAGAUCGUCCUCAGCUACUUGCUCGCCUCCCUCAUCGACGAAAUUCUUCAACAGGUGCACAGGUUUGACACAUCUCGUGCCAUCUGGGAGCAUCUCGAGGAGAUGUACCAGACCCAUUGUCGUGCCAAUAUUGUGCAGAUUAAGCUGGACAUGGCGAUCUUCAGGAAGGAAAACCUCUCCAUGGCGGACUACUUCGCCAAGAUCCGCGCCAACACUGACCAGCUUGCUGCUGUCGGCCGCGCCAUGCGUGAUGAGGACAUCAUCACCGACGUCAUCAAUGGCCUCGACAGCGAGUACGAGCCCCUCAUCACCGCUGCCACAACCCGCCUCGACGUCAUGACGCUCGGGGAGUUCUACUCUCAUGCCAUUGCCUUUGAGCGCCGGCGUGAGUACAACGCUGCACGCUUUCGUCUCCAAACUAGCGGCUCCUCCCUCAACUAUGUCACUCGCGACAACAACAACCCUCCCCGCGGCAGCAACAACAACAACCGCGGCAAGGGCAACUACCGCGGCAAGGGCCGCGACAACUACGGCGACCACGGCGGCUACAACAACAAUGCCCGUGGUGGUGACCGCGGCAACCGUGGCGGCGCUGGCAACCGCCAGCAGAACGACUAUGGUGGCAACCGUGGUGGUGACCGCGGUGACCACGCUGGUGGUGGUGACAAGCGCGUUCAGUGCCAGCUCUGCCGCGGCCCCGGGCAUUUUGCUUGGGAGUGUGGCCAGCGCUACAACCACGUGUCCCAGUCUCCCCACUCCAAGAUGGCAGGCCUUGCUGCUGCUUCUCCUUCGUCCAUCCUUGGCGAUCCCGCCUGGUUCACGGAUACGGGGGCUACAGACCACAUCACCACUGACCUGUAUCGUCUCACCGUGAGGGAGAAAUAUCCAGGGCGCGACCGCAUCCAUACGGCUGAUGGAUCAGGUUUGCAAAUAGCUCAUCGUGGUCAUGCAAUUCUUCCUACACCCUCCGCCAAUCAUAAGAUUCACAAUAUCCUUCAUGUUCCUAAUGCAGACAAGAAUCUUAUCUCUGUUAAUCAUCUUGCUGUUGAUAAUCAUGCUUAUCUAAAAUACUAUCCUACUCAUUUUCUUAUGAAGGAUUUGACUACCAAGAGGGUACUUCUUCAAGGCAGAUGUGAUAAUGGGCUUUACCCCGUCCGGCCAUCUCGAGCUCGUGCCUUGUCCUCGGUUCGGCUCUCUGCUAAAGAUUGGCACGCUAGGCUUAGCCAUCCGUCGUCUCAAGUCGUCCAGCAUGUUUUGGCUUCCAAUAAACUCGUGUCAUCUAGUCGGUCAUUGACCAACAUUUGCAAUGCAUGUCAGCAAGGCAAAGCACACCAACUUCCCUUUCCUAGGCCAUCGAGUGUUUCAUCUUUUCCUUUGGAAUUAGUUUUUUCAGAUGUGUGGGGGCCCGCUAAGACUUCAUCUAGUGGGUUCCAGUACUAUGUGUCAUUCAUUGAUGAUUAUAGUAAAUUUUUUUGGAUUUACCUUCUCAAACGAAAGUGUGAUGCGUUUGAUGUUUUUCGUGAUUUUCUUGCUCAUGUUGAACGCCUUCUUUCUCGUAAAAUUCUCUGCGUUCAAUCGGACUGGGGCGGUGAAUACGAAAAACUUAGCAACACAUUCUUUAAUCAACUUGGUAUUGCACAUCAUGUGUCGUGCCCACACACGCAUCAACAGAAAGGCUCCGCCGAAAGAAAACACCGUCACAUUGUUGACAUGGGCUUGUCACUUUUAUCACAUGCAUCCAUGCCAUUGCGGUUUUGGGAUGAAGCCUACCUAACCGCUUGCUAUCUUAUCAACAGACUUCCGAGCCGUGUUAUAGGAAAUGUUAGUCCCAUGGAAAAGCUGUUUCAUCACAAACCAAACUAUGUGUCUCUUCGAACCUUCGGGUGCGCAUGUUGACCAAACUUACGUCCGUACAACACACACAAACUCUCCUUUCGCUCUCAACAAUGUGUGUUCAUAGGGUAUAGCAUCCGUCACAAAGGCUAUAAAUGCCUUCAUGUACCCACAGCUCGCAUCUAUAUUUCACGUGAGAUGUUGUGUUUGACAAGAAAUUUUUUCCGUUUGCUCAACCCCAAACCGCUCCCAUACCACCUCGUGUUGCAGAACAUGCCAUCCUCCUUUUUCCGCAUGACCACAUGAAUUAUUGCACUUCUGUUUCGGAUGCUAAUUUGGAUGCAGGAUCCCAUGUGCCACAAACGAUCCCAGGCGCGGCUUCCCCAGGAUCCCAUGCAGAUUCUGGCGCUGAUCCCGGAGCUGAUUCGCUCUCGGAUCCCGUGCCUGCAGACAACAACAACGCGCCCUCUCCUUCAACAUGCGACAGCGAUGCGCCCGCCUCUCCAUUGGACCAGGUGCCCGGCACGGGUGGGCCACCUGCCCCACCCGCCUCUACGCGGCGCUCGUCCUCACCUGCAGUGGGGCCUACCACCGGGCCGGUUCCCGCUGCGCCCGACACACCAGCCGUGACCGUCCGUGUGGCGCCCAUACCUGCUGCGGGGGAAACCGGUGUGGGCCCGUCCCCGGUUGUGGGCGCGGAUUCCUCCCCUGACGAGCAGCUCACGAGAUCCUAGGUGGAGCCGCCUGCUGCUGCACGCUGGAUCUUCUGCGGCUGCCGGACCCUCUGUUCCACUGGGGCAUGCCAUGGUGACUCGGACCCGCGAUCAUACGCGCCAUGUCAAGCAACACACUGAUGGCACCAUCGUCUACAACCCGUCCAAACGUGCCUUCCUCACUGUACGUGAACCUGCGGAUUACCGUGAGGCGCUCCGGUCCCCAAGUUGGUACCAAGCCAUGCAAGCUGAACUUGAUGCGCUUCGCCACAAUGGCACUUGGACUCUUGUUGCUCCGCCACCCAAUGUCAACAUCAUUGACUGCAAAUGGGUUUUUAAGGUCAAGCACAAAGCAGAUGGCUCGGUUGAUCGUCUCAAAGCUCGUCUUGUUGCGAAGGGGUUCAAGCAACGACAUGGUUUGGACUAUGAUGACACGUUCAGUCCGGUUGUCAAACCUGUUACCGUGCGUCUCGUGCUUUCUAUUGCAGUCUCCCGUGGGUGGUGCUUGCGGUAGUUGGACGUCCAAAAUGCCUUUCUUCAUGGCUUCGAAGAUCCUUCUACUCCUCGGUAUCUAUGCAAGCUUCAGAAAGCCCUUUAUGGUCUUAAACAAGCUCCUCGGGCUUGGUACUCUCGGUUGAGCUCUCGUCUUCAACAACUUGGUUUUCUGCCAUCCGAGGCUGACACAUCACCUUUUGUCUUGAACCGGAGAGGGGUCACCAUUUUCAUGCUCGUGUACGUUGAUGAUAUCAUUGUGGCCAGCUCCUCUCCCAUUGCUACCACCAAGCUACUAGGUGAGCUUCAGGCUUCAUUUUCUCUCAAAGACCUUGGUCCGUUGCAUUAUUUUCUUGGAGUUGAGGUGACGUCAUCGCCAAGGGGGCUUGUUCUGUCACAGCAGAAAUAUAUUGGCGAUAUCCUUCAUCGGGCAAACAUGGAAAAUUGCAAGAUCUCCACCACGUGUAUGUCUUCCAGUGAGAAGAUCAGUAAGGAGAGUGGUACGCUUCUUGGACAGGAUGACAACACUAAUUAUCGGAGUUUAGUUGGGGCUCUUCAGUACCUAACACUCAUGAGGCCAGACAUCUCCUUUGCGGUGAAUCAAGUCUGCCAAUUCUUGCAUGCACCAACCACGGUAAAUUUUUCAGCAGCCAAACACAUUCUGCGGUAUAUGAAGUAUACACGAGGUAUGGGACUGUCUAUACGAAAGUCUCCCUCCAUGCUACCGAGCUGUUUCUCAGAUGCAGACUGGGCAGGAUGCAGUGACGAUCGCAGGUCCACAGGGGGCUUUGCUGUGUUUCUUGGACCCAACCUGGUUUCUUGGAGCUCAAGGAAGCAAGCCACCGUUUCACGAUCAAGUACCGAAUCUGAAUACAAGGCCUUGGCAAAUGGAAAAGCGGAGCUAAUUUGGAUACAAUCUGUUCUUGGAGAGCUUGGAGUCUUUAUGUCUCGUCCUCCAGUUUUGUGGUGUGAUAAUCUGGGAGCUACCUAUUUGUCAGCAAACCCCGUGUUUCAUGCGAGAACAAAACACAUAGAAGUGGAUUUCCACUUUGUUCGGGAGAGAGCUGCGGCAAAAGCUCUUGACGUUCGAUUCAUCUCGUCUAAAGAACAGGUUGCAGAUAUAUUUACCAAGCCACUGGCUGAGGCGCCUUUUGUAUCGAAUAGAUGCAAUCUUAAUCUUCUAGUACAAAGUUAAGAUUGAGAGGGGAUGUCAAACAUGUAGUUGUGAUCUAGGAAGUUGUUAGUAUCUUGUAUAUCUCCUGUAACAACUCAUGUAUAUCCGGCUAGGCCUUUGUGCCCUAGCUCACGUAUAUAUAAACCCUCGGAGGGCACUGUUUG